rnacentral:misc_RNA from 1 species
GAUGAAGAACGGCAGCGAAAUGCGAUAAGUAGUGUGAAUUGCAGAAUUCAGUGAAUCAUCGAAUCUUUGAACGCACAUUGCGCCUUCUAGUAUUCUGGGAGGCAUGCCUGUUUGAGCGUCAUUAAACCUCUCUCAAGUAUGAUUACUUGGAUGUGAAGGAAGAGUACCUUAAACUUAAGGAGUGUUCUCCUUUGAAAUUGAUUAGCAGAUGGUAAUGUUAUUAAAUCCCUGAUGUUGUAAGAAAUAACAGUGGUUUUGUAGACUAUUAUCUAGCUUUAAAUUAUAAUUUUUAUUAUGGUUGACCUCAAAUCAGGUAAGGAUACCCGCUGAACUUAAGCAUAUCAAUAAGCGGAGGA